rnacentral:rRNA from 1 species
CAAGAGCUAUUCGCCUGGGUACUACGAGCACCAGCUUAGAACCCAAAGGACUUGGCGGUGCUUAAGACCCCCCUAGAGGAGCCUGUUCUAGAACCGAUAACCCCCGUUCAACCUCACCUUCUUUGGCCAAUCCCGUCUAUAUACCGCCGUCGUCAGCUUACCCCUUGAGGGCUCGUUAGUAAGCAAAAUUGGUUCACCCCAAAACGUCAGGUCGAGGUGUAACGUAUGAGAAGGGCAGAAAUGGGCUACAUUCCUUACGACGAAAAGUGUAAUGAAACUUACACUGGAAGGAGGAUUUAGCAGUAAACGGAAAAUAGAGUG